CUCCUAAUGUGUUGCUCAUCCUCUUCCCUCUUCUCGGCGGGCGUCUGACGUUCAGACCGUGGCUGCAUCGAUGCAAAAAUGGGUUGUGGGAAUUCGUCGGCCGCCAGCACCUCAGGAGGGGGGCCAGCUGAAGCCUCCAAGGAUGUAAGAUCCCUUGGCAGAUGAUGAGAAAAGAAGGAACUAUGGUGGAGUGUACGUGGGUCUCCCUACAGACCUGAACGCCGUGGCUGCCAGUCAGUCCAAGACUGUCAGAAAAGACUAGCAGGCAUUG